rnacentral:rRNA from 1 species
ACGAACGCUGGCGGCGUGCUUAACACAUGCCAGUCGAACGGAAAGGCCCUGCUUUUGUGGGGUGCUCGAGUGGCGAACGGGUGAGUAACACGUGAGUAACCUGCCCUUGACUUUGGGAUAACUUCAGGAAACUGGGGCUAAUACCGGAUAGGAGCUCCUGCUGCAUGGUGGGGGUUGGAAAGGUUCGGCGGUUGGGGAUGGACUCGCGGCUUAUCAGCUUGUUGGUGGGGUAGUGGCUUACCAAGGCUUUGACGGGUAGCCGGCCUGAGAGGGUGACCGGCCACAUUGGGACUGAGAUACGGCCCAGACUCCUACGGGAGUCAGCAGUGGGGAAUAUUGCACAAUGGGCGGAAGCCUGAUGCAGCAACGCCGCGUGCGGGAUGACGGCCUUCGGGUUGUAAACCGCUUUCGCCUGUGACGAAGCGUGAGUGACGGUAAUGGGUAAAGAAGCACCGGCUAACUACGUG